rnacentral:rRNA from 1 species
AACAGGGAUUGCCCUAGUAACGGCGAGUGAAGCGGCAACAGCUCAAAUUUGAAAUCUGGCUCUUUCAGGGUCCGAGUUGUAAUUUGCAGAGGGUGCUUUGGUGUUGGCGGCGGUCUAAGUUCCUUGGAACAGGACAUCGCAGAGGGUGAGAAUCCCGUAUGUGGUCGCCUGCCUUCGCCGUGUAAAGCCCCUUCGACGAGUCGAGUUGUUUGGGAAUGCAGCUCUAAAUGGGAGGUAAAUUUCUUCUAAAGCUAAAUACCGGCCAGAGACCGAUAGCGCACAAGUAGAGUGAUCGAAAGAUGAAAAGCACUUUGGAAAGAGAGUCAAACAGCACGUGAAAUUGUUAAAAGGGAAGCGCUUGCAGCCAGACUUGCCUGUAGUUGCUCGCCUGGGCUUUUGCCCGGGUUACUCUUCUGCAGGCAGGCCAGCAUCAGUUUGGGCGGUCGGAUAAAGGUCCCUGACACGUAUCUCCCUUCGGGGUUAACAUAUAGGGGGGACGUAAUGCGACCAGCCUGGACUGAGGUCCGCGCAUCUGCUAGGAUGCUGGCGUAAUGGCUGUAAGCGGCCCGUCUUGAAACACGGACCAAGGAGUCUAACAUCUAUGCGAGUGUUUGGGUGUCAAGCCCGAGCGCGUAAUGAAAGUGAACGGAGGUGGGAACCCCUCGGGGCGCACCAUCGACCGAUCCUGAUGUCUUCGGAUGGAUUUGAGUAAGAGCAUAGCUGUUGGGACCCGAAAGAUGGUGAACUAUGCUUGAAUAGGGUGAAGCCAGAGGAAACUCUGGUGGAGGCUCGCAGCGGUUCUGACGUGCAAAUCGAUCGUCAAAUUUGGGCAUAGGGGCGAAAGACUAAUCGAACUAUCUAGUAGCUGG